UAUGGAGCAAUAUUAGUGGAAUUAAUCAUGUCAGUUUUCCCCAUCUGGUGCUUCCUUUUGCCUCCUAGGCAAGUAAUUAUUAUGACAUGCAACUGUUCUUGACCAAGCACUUCCUAUAUCUGAGUGCAUAUCAGAACAACAAAAAUAUAAAUGAUCAUCUGGAAAAAUAGUAAUACAGAUUGUUUCUUGAUUCAUUAAACCCAAUAACUCAAAUCCCCAGAUACUUUCCAGGGAACAUAUUUCAUGUUAUUUAAUCACAGGUGGAUUCACAAAUAUAAUGUUAACAUUUCAGUAGAUUUGCCUUUUUAUUAGCAGAUUUUAAGGAAUAUAAAUAGUAUCUAAAGAUAUAGUAAUUUUAGAAAGUUAGCUAAGUGUAGCUGGGUUUAUUGAUAGAAAACUUAUUAUAUUAUAUAACCCCAAACUGAAAUUCUGCAUGAUCAUCUUUGUCUUUGUUUUGGCUUUCUGGGUCCCAAGACUAGCAAUGUUUCCAAAAGAUUAUGAUUUAUCCCCAAGGCUCCAUAUAGCUUGUAAUAAUAUUUUUCACUUUUGGCAAUGUAGCCAUAAAUCUGGAUUUAGUUAGAUGUGGAACAAUAAUGCUGAAUGAAUUGAGACCACAGAAUGAAACGGCAUUAUUGCACCAUGGACUUUUGUAGCUCCAUCUUUUUUUUUAUCCCACCAAACUUAGUACAGGUCUUAGUACCUGUGUAUCAUAAUGCUAAUUAAAACAAUAAAAAUUGAUGUCACUUGUGGAAAAUAAGAAACUCAUCAUUGAUUUCAAUAUUCUUUGGGAAUUUCAGUAUAUUGACUUUAUCAGUUUGGAGAUUCUUCUGAAUUGCCUAUCAUGGUUGAAUUCCAGGCUGCUAAUAGUAACUAGGAUUUUUCAAAUCAUCAAUUGAUCUGGAAUAGCAAUAUAAAUGCAAUAGUUAUGCCAUGUUUAUUAUUGAAUUUUGGAUUUUGCUCUGUAAUCUCUAUCACCCAUAAGACUAUUGGUUAUUCCUUGAGUCUCAGCAGGAAAUUAACCCUGGGCUUUCUUUUCAACUGUUUUUUGUCUGAUGUGCCAAUGAAUGCUAGAAGGCUGGAGGUGGAAACCAUUGCCACUGAAACUUAAAUUUAAAUUAAGUUAAAUUAAUGCAUAGAUUUAGCCUUGCUCAAGGACAAUUUAGCUAUUCCUUGAUCCAGGGACUUUUUUUUUUUUUUUUUGCAGGCAUCUGUGUGAAAGGAUUAAUGGCAGAAGCAAAACCUAACAUUACUUUCACUCUUUGCAGCUUAAUAAUGAUUGUCAAAAAGAUUUAUAGGAAGGACCAUUUCCCAUGCCUUCUGUAUCGGAGAAAUGAAUGACAGGGGAGACCUGCUCUUUCUUAAGCUGCUCCUGGAUGCUCCACCAUCAGAGAUUUUAAAGAAGAGAUUGGACAACCAUUUGUCUGAAAUGGCUGGAUGCUGCUUUGUUUGUACUGAAGUAAUGUAAGUUCCUAAGUUGUAUAAUCGGUAUGUGGCUUAGUUUCUGUCAUUAUUAUCUGUAAACUAAGCCCUGAUUCACAACAGUGUUUAUUACAUUAUUCUGUAACAAGAGGUAAAGCAACAGUUGGCCCUCUCUCCUGCAAUAGUAUCAUGAAAUAUAAAACAUCCUCUUUUGCUUCAAAUGGCGUAGUGAAUUUUUUAAUCUUUGAUAUAAAUCCUUCAGGGAUGAGAUUUCAAAGGACAAAACACACCUUGUGGCAUUCAUGACAAACACAUAAGAAGGAAGCCAGUUCUAUUCAUUUAUAAAUGAAGGAAUACAUUAUGAGGAAAGACCAUACUUACCUGCUAGAAGGACAAGCUUUCUCCCAAAUAAUUGGAAGUGCAUGGAGCUUUUGACAUUGGCUGAUAAGAAGACAAAGGAAUGAAGAAGAUGUACACGUGGCUGAAAACUUCACUGCAGCAAACCAGGGAUGCUUUCAAGAUCAGUUUAAAGGAUGGUCAUUGCUUGUGCAGGGCUGUUUUCCUACUGAAUGUAACCUUUCUUCUAAUGCCUAAGCAGAACUCUUCUUUCUUAACCUGAUCCUUUCUUCUUUCCCUUUCCUUUUUCCAGAGCACUCACCUCAUUCCCCAUCACCCCAUUACUGGGUGUGAGAUUGACUGAAGAAUGCUAACUGUAUAAGAUGAAUUAAUUUUGUAAAUCCUAUAUGUUAUUCUAUGGACACUUUCAUUAAUAGUUAUGUGCAAAAUACCGCAAAUUUAUGCUUACUCUGCACAUGUAUUUGUGAUUUUUGGCAAGAAUAUAUGUAUUCAUUAUCAUGUGUAGGUCUGCUGUUACAUAUAAGUGAGCAUGACAGAAAUCUUCACAUAUAUAUUUCUCUGCCUACUCAUCCUUUUUUGGAAAGAUUGCAUCAGGAUCAGUUCCAGUAAACUUAUAUCAUCCUAUAGGAAGGGUAAAAGUGCAAAUGUUGUUAAACCCUCCUCCCCCUCAAGAAAAAACAGCUAAAAUUCAGCUUUUAGUUUUGAGUGGACAUAUUUUGGCAACAUGGAAAUAGAAAUGAUUAAUUUCCUUCCACUAUAAUGCAAAAGACUCACAAAAAAAGAACAUAAUGGAGAUGUAUUCAACAUGACAGACAACAUGAAACUUUGUGUAGGUAGUCAAUACGUAUUAAAAUAUCACUGUUCUAUUCUAUGUGUUAGGAAGGGAACUGGAACAACUCUACAUUUUCUUUUUAGUGGUAAUCAAAGAAAUGUAAGAGUUUAACAGACAAAAGACAGGAAAGUCUAGAAAGGGAGAAAUCUGAAUCUCUAUCACUUUUACAGGUUAAAAAAAAGCCCCAGAUCAUUGCUAUAAUUGUAUUGGAAGGCAAAUUGGCACUACAUAAGACGGGGGGGG